CAGUCGCCGCGGUAACACGAAGGGUGCAAGCGUUACUCGGAAUUACUGGGCGUAAAGCGUGCGUAGGUGGUGGUUUAAGUCCGUUGUGAAAGCCCUGGGCUCAACCUGGGAAUUGCAGUGGAUACUGGGUCACUAGAGUGUGGUAGAGGAUAGUGGAAUUUCCGGUGUAGCAGUGAAAUGCGUAGAGAUCGGAAGGAACAUCUGUGGCGAAGGCGACUAUCUGGGCCAACACUGACACUGAGGCACGAAAGCGUGGGGAGCAAACAGGAUUAGAUACCCCUGUAGUCCCUGUCUCUUAUAA
rnacentral:rRNA from 1 species